UACGGGGGGGGCAAGCGUUGUUCGGAAUUACUGGGCGUAAAGGGCUCGUAGGCGGCCAACUAAGUCAGACGUGAAAUCCCUCGGCUUAACCGGGGAACUGCGUCUGAUACUGGAUGGCUUGAGUUUGGGAGAGGGAUGCGGAAUUCCAGGUGUAGCGGUGAAAUGCGUAGAUAUCUGGAGGAACACCGGUGGCGAAGGCAGCUCGCUGGGACGUCACUGACACUGAGGCGCGAAAGCCAGGGGAGCAAACGGG
rnacentral:rRNA from 1 species